rnacentral:rRNA from 1 species
AGCGGUGAGCAUGGGGUUUAUUCGACGCAACGCGAAGAACCUUACCUGGGCUCGGAAUGUACGGGGAUCACUUAGGAAUAGGUGCGCCUAGCAAUAGGCCCGUAUAUAGGUGCUGCAUGGCUGUCGUCAGCUCGUGUCGUGAGAUGUUGGGUUAAGUCCCGCAACGAGCGCAACCCUUAUCUCCAGUUGCUACCAUUUAGUUGAGCACUCUGGCGAAACCGCCUCGGAUAACGGGGAGGAAGGUGGGGAUGACGUCAAGUCCUCAUGGCCUUUAUGUCCAGGGCUACACACGUGCUACAAUGGCCGGUACAAACCGCUGCGAACCCGCGAGGGGGGGCCAAUCGGAAAAAGCCGGCCUCAGUUCGGAUUGGAGUCUGCAACUCGACUCCAUGAAGCUGGAAUCGCUAGUAAUCGCAGAUCAGAAUGCUGCGGUGAAUACGUUCCCGGGCCUUGUACACACCGCCCGUCACAUCACGAAAGUGGGUUGCACUAGAAGUCGGUGCGCUAACCGCAAGGGAGCAGCCGCCCAAGGUGUAAUUCAUGAUUGGGGUGAAGUCGUAACAAGGUAACC